rnacentral:lncRNA from 13 species
GAUGGCAGAGAACGAGACGUAACUGACGUGACGUGACGUGACGUGACGUUGAGUAAGGCAGAGAAAAGCCGUAAAGACGUACGACGUGUUGUGUUGAAUGUCUGAUGAUCUAUUAAGUGCGCGGAGAGACGAGGUUAAUCCACAUUUUUCCCUGCUAUAUAUACUAAUAUAAUAUUGAAUUUUUGUUAUUGCUUACCUCCAAAUGCUCCAAUAUCAACUAAUGUAAAUCUGUAUAAAUAAUCAGAUACUGCCAAUAAAACCACACUAUAAAAUUUUUAUAAUUAAAA